rnacentral:rRNA from 1 species
UUCCANGUGUAGCGGUGAAAUGCGUAGAUAUAUGGAGGAACACCGGUGGCGAAAGCGGCUCUCUGGUCUGUAACUGACGCUGAGGCUCGAAAGCGUGGGGAGCGAACAGGAUUAGAUACCCUGGUAGUNCACGCCGUAAACGAUGAGUGCUAGGUGUUGGAUCCUUUCCGGGAUUCAGUGCCGCAGCUAACGCAUUAAGCACUCCGCCUGGGGAGUACGACCGCAAGGUUGAAACUCAAAGGAAUUGACGGGGGCCCGCACAAGCGGUGGAGCAUGUGGUUUAAUUCGAAGCAACGCGAAGAACCUUACCAGGUCUUGACAUCCCGAUGCUAUUUCUAGAGAUAGAAAGUUACUUCGGUACAUCGGUGACAGGUGGUGCAUGGUUGUCGUCAGCUCGUGUCGUGAGAUGUUGGGUUAAGNCCCGCAACGAGCGCAACCCCUAUUGUUAGUUGCCAUCAUUCAGUUGGGCACUCUAGCGAGACUGCCGGUAAUAAACCGGAGGAAGGUGGGGAUGACGUCAAAUCAUCAUGCCCCUUAUGACCUGGGCUACACACGUGCUACAAUGGUUGGUACAACGAGUUGCGAGUCGGUGACGGCAAGCUAAUCUCUUAAAGCCAAUCUCAGUUCGGAUUGUAGGCUGCAACU